AAUAAAUAUAGCUGUGGAUAUCCGUGCCCAAUGUUUGACCGUCCGUCUUAUUUAAAAUUUUUUUUAUGAUUACUUUUUUUAUUGCUAUUAGAUGAUAAAACAUGAAUAUUACUUUAUGUGUGACUAAAUAUUUUUAAAUUUUUUAUAAAAUUUUCAAAUAAGACGAAUGAUCAAACGUUGAACGUGAAUAGUGCAAAAUUGCACUUGUU
rfam:Oryza barthii chromosome 8, whole genome shotgun sequence.